rnacentral:rRNA from 1 species
ACAUGCAAGUCGAGCGUAGAGAGAAGUUGUCUCUUGAGAGCGGCGGACGGAUGAGUAAGCCUAGGAUCUGCCUGGUAGUGGGGGAUAACGUUCGGAAACGGACGCUAAUACCGCAUACUCCUACGGGAGAAAGCAGGGACUUCGGGCCUUGCGCUAUCAGAUGAGCCUAGGUCGGAUUAGCUAGUUGGUGAGGUAAUGGCUCACCAAGGCGACGAUCCGUAACUGGUCUGAGAGGAUGAUCAGUCACACUGGAACUGAGACACGGUCCAGACUCCUACGGGAGGCAGCAGUGGGGAAUAUUGGACAAUGGGCGAAAGCCUGAUCCAGCCAUGCCGCGUGUGUGAAGAAGGUCUUCGGAUUGUAAAGCACUUUAAGUUGGGAGG